rnacentral:rRNA from 1 species
UACGGAGGUGGCAAGCGUUGCUCGGAAUCACUGGGCGUAAAGGGCGCGUAGGCGGCGUGUUAAGUCACUUGUGAAAUCUCUAAGCUUAACUUAGAACGGUCAAGUGAUACUGAUGUGCUAGAGUGCAGAAGGGGCAACCGGAAUUCUUGGUGUAGCGGUGAAAUGCGUAGAUAUGAAGAGGAACACCUGAGGUGAAGACGGGUUGCUGGGCUGACACUGACGCUGAGGCGCGAAAGCUAGGGUAGCAAACGGG